AUUGAACGCUAGCGGGAGGCUUUACACAUGCAAGUCGAACGAGUGGCGGACGGGUUACUAAUGUAUCGGAACGUGCCCAGUAGCUGGGGAUCACUACUGGAAAGUGUUGCUACUACCGCAUACUAUUGCAUCGGCCGGUAUCGGAUUAGCUAGUUGGUGGGGUAAAGGCUCACCAAGGCGACGAUCCGUAGCUGGUUUGAGAGGAGGACCAGCCACACUGGGACUGAGACACGGCCCAGACUCCUACGGGAGGCAGCAGUGGGGAAUUUUGGACAAUGGGGGAAAGCCUGAUCCAGCCAUGCCGCGUGUAUGAGAAGGCCUUCGGGUUGUAAAGUACUUUCAGUCGGGAGGCGUUACCGACAGAAGAAGCACCGGCUAACUCCGUGCCAGCAGCCGCGGUAAUUC
rnacentral:rRNA from 1 species